rfam:Chlorocebus sabaeus isolate 1994-021 chromosome 9, whole genome shotgun sequence.
GGAUAACUGGAGUGAAAAUAUCUUCCAGCCUCACCUGAAGUAGGAGGAUCACUUGAGUCCAGGAGUUCUUGGCUGUAGCGUUAUGACAGUUGAGUUUCUGCACUAAGUUUGGCAUCAGUAUGGUGACCCCCCCAGGAGUAGGGGACCACCUAGUUGCACAAGGUGAGAUGAACCAGCCCAGGUUGGAAAUGGAGUAGGUCAAAACUCCCAAGCUGAUAAGUAGUGGGAUGGCACCUGUGAAUAGCCACUGCACUCCAGCCUGAGCAAUAUAGCAAGAUCCCAUCUCUA